rnacentral:lncRNA from 1 species
UGCAUUUUGGGUUUGCCCUGCUUAAACAAUAGAAAACUUAACUGUCAAAGCAGAUUAUUUAGCUUUAGGGAUAAGGCAAACAAAAGGCCAAACAACUCUCUAGGUGUGUUUAGGAGUUCAAACUAGCCCACACCCUUACUGUCCUCUACAUUUAGGAAAGCCAUUGACCAGAGGUAUGGGAGCUCUUACUAUGGAAUUGUUCUUCUACUGAUGCAGCUCAGACUGUAUCUGUUCUCCUGCAGCUGCCCUGAAUUGCUGAGAAUUUGCAUGAUUAAAAAGGGGAAAAGUUCUUCAGCUAUUGUUGCUAAGGAAACUGCCACCUUGAUAUUUGCCUAGUGAGAACAGCUGUCUCUCUUUAUAUCUAAGCAAAGGAGGUCUGGAAGCAACUCUUUGUAGUGGCAAGGUUGCAUAUAUGAUGAAGAUCGUGUGGGGUUACUGACAAGCCUUGCUUGCAGUCAGCGGAGGGCUGUGCUUUGCUAGUUGGCCUGGUGCCUCACGCAGGAGGAAGGCCGUGGCAGCAGAGUGUCAGUGCAUGGUGUAGGUGCCCAGCAGUGUGUGCCACUGGCUUCAGGCCCAUUGCAUGAAGUCAGCCAAUUCUCUACCAUCCUCACUGGGAACUUGUAAAGCGACUGCAAUGUUUUCCAUACUUUGUAGUACCCAGCUUCAGAGUUUGUCAGGACCAAAGCAGCUGUGCGAAUGUGUCGUCGUCCCUGAUUAGGCACUUCUGAUGUCGGAAGCGCGUUCAGACUCCUAAGCUGAAGAAAGUCAGGUAAAGUGAAGCGAUGGAAGUUUGUUAAUGUAUUUAAAUGAAAUGCGGGAUAAAUUUCCCAGCUGGAAAGAAGAAUCAAACAACUUCUUUUUGAUAGCAUUAUGAAAAAUACUUUAUGUUCCUUUUUCCAGCAGCUACCUUUUAAUUGUAAACAAUUCAACACAUCAAAAACGAUUUAGGAUUGUUCUUGAAUCUAAUAAAAUGAGUGAAAAUGUUGCGUUUUUACUGCUG